GUGGGGAAUAUUGGACAAUGGGGGGAACCCUGAUCCAGCCAUGCCGCGUGUGUGAAGAAGGCCUUUUGGUUGUAAAGCACUUUAAGUGGGGAGGAGGCUUACCUGGUUAAUACCUGGGCUAAGUGGACGUUACCCACAGAAUAAGCACCGGCUAACUCUGUGCCAGCAGCCGCGGUAAUACAGAGGGUGCGAGCGUUAAUCGGAUUUACUGGGCGUAAAGCGCGCGUAGGUGGUUAAUUAAGUCAAAUGUGAAAUCCCCGAGCUUAACUUGGGAAUUGCAUUCGAUACUGGUUAGCUAGAGUAUGGGAGAGGAUGGUAGAAUUCCAGGUGUAGCGGUGAAAUGCGUAGAGAUCUGGAGGAAUACCGAUGGCGAAGGCAGCCAUCUGGCCUAAUACUGACACUGAGGUGCGAAAGCAUGGGGAGCAAACAGGAUUAGAAACCCUAGUAGUCC
rnacentral:rRNA from 2 species